rnacentral:rRNA from 1 species
GAUGAACGCUGGCGGCGUGCCUAAUACAUGCAAGUCGAGCGAACAGAUAAGGAGCUUGCUCCUUUGACGUUAGCGGCGGACGGGUGAGUAACACGUGGAUAACCUACCUAUAAGACUGGGAUAACUUCGGGAAACCGGAGCUAAUACCGGAUAACAUAUUGAACCGCAUGGUUCAAUAGUGAAAGGCGGCUUUGCUGUCACUUAUAGAUGGAUCCGCGCCGUAUUAGCUAGUUGGUAAGGUAACGGCUUACCAAGGCAACGAUACGUAGCCGACCUGAGAGGGGGAUCGGCCACCCUGGAACUGAGACACGGUCCAGACUCCUACGGGAGGCAGCAGUAGGGAAUCUUCCGCAAUGGGCGAAAGCCUGACGGAGCAACGCCGCGUGAGUGAUGAAGGUCUUCGGAUCGUAAAACUCUGUUAUCAGGGAAGAACAAAUGUGUAAGUAACUGUGCACAUCUUGACGGUACCUGAUCAGAAAGCCACGGCUAACUACGUG